rnacentral:piRNA from 1 species
UGGAUUGCUGUGAAUGAGGAUGGCGU